rnacentral:rRNA from 1 species
GACGUAGGGGGCAAGCGUUGUCCGGACUCAUUGGGCGUAAAGAGCGUGUAGGCGGCUCGAUAAGUCUGCUGUGAAAGUCCAGGGCUCAACCCUGGAAUGCCGGUGGAAACUGUCGGGCUAGAGUCCGGAAGAGGCGAGUGGAAUUCCCGGUGUAGCGGUGAAAUGCGCAGAUAUCGGGAGGAACACCUGUGGCGAAGGCGGGUUGCUGGGCCGACACUGACGCUGAGGCGCGAAAGCCAGGGGAGCGAACGGG